rnacentral:rRNA from 1 species
AGAGUUUGAUCCUGGCUCAGAUUGAACGCUGGCGGCACGCUUAACACAUGCAAGUCGAACGGUUUCAGAGGACUUGUCCUCUGGAAUAGUGGCGGACGGGUGAGUAAUACGUAGGAAUCUGCCUUAGAGAGGGGGAUAACUCGGGGAAACUCGAGCUAAGACCGCAUAAACUCUGCGGAGGAAAUAAGCCUUUUAUUAGG